rnacentral:rRNA from 1 species
GAUGAACGCUGGCGGCGUGCCUAAUACAUGCAAGUCGAGCGAACAGACGAGGAGCUUGCUCCUCUGACGUUAGCGGCGGACGGGUGAGUAACACGUGGAUAACCUACCUAUAAGACUGGGAUAACUUCGGGAAACCGGAGCUAAUACCGGAUAAUAUAUUGAACCGCAUGGUUCAAUAGUGAAAGACGGUUUUGCUGUCACUUAUAGAUGGAUCCGCGCCGCAUUAGCUAGUUGGUAAGGUAACGGCUUACCAAGGCAACGAUGCGUAGCCGACCUGAGAGGGUGAUCGGCCACACUGGAACUGAGACACGGUCCCGACUCCUACGGGAGGCAGCAGUAGGGAAUCUUCCGCAAUGGGCGAAAGCUUGACGGAGCAACGCCGCGUGAGUGAUGAAGGUCUUCGGAUCGUAAAACUCUGUUAUUAGGGAAGAACAAAUGUGUAAGUAACUAUGCACGUCUUGACGGUACCUAAUCAGAAAGCCACGGCUAACUACGUG